AGAGUUUGAUCCUGGCUCAGGACGAACGCUUGCGACGUGCCUAAGAAAUGCAAGUCGAACGGGGUAGCAAUACCUAGUGGCGAACGGUCGCGUAACACGUGGGCAACCUGCCCUGAAGUGGGGGACAACAUGCCGAAAGGUGUGCUAAUACCGCAUGUGAAUUGGGACGGCAUCUUCCCGGAUUCAAAGCAGCAAUGCGC
rnacentral:rRNA from 1 species